rfam:Vagococcus fluvialis bH819 genome assembly, contig: Scaffold6
GAAAUUAAGAAGAAGCACCCGCUUCUCGCCUGAGUGAUGUUUAUGACUGGGCUAGAUAGUCAAAUUAUCCUUAUUUAAGUAAGGUUGAUUUAUUAGGUGCGGGACUUUUAAAUUUUAAAAGGACUCGUUUUUUUUCGUCUUU